GCCCCAGUAGCUCAGUGGAUAGAGCAACCGCCUCCUAAGCGGUAGGUCGACCGUUCGAUUCGGUUCUGGGGCGCCA
rnacentral:tRNA from 3 species